rnacentral:rRNA from 1 species
UGGGGAAUAUUGCGCAAUGGGGGAAACCCUGACGCAGCAAUGCCGCGUGCGGGAUGACGGCCCUCGGGUUGUAAACCGCUUUCAGCAGGGAAGAUAACGACGGUACCUGCACAAGAAGCCCCGGCUAACUACGUGCCAGCAGCCGCGGUAACACGUAGGGGGCGAGCGUUAUCCGGAUUCAUUGGGCGUAAAGCGCGCGCAGGCGGGCUGCUAAGCGGGACCUCUAAUCUCGGGGCUCAACCUCGAGCCGGGUCCCGAACUGGCAGCCUCGGGUGCGGUAGGGGUAGGCGGAAUUCCCGGUGUAGCGGUGGAAUGCGCAGAUAUCGGGAAGAACACCGACGGCGAAGGCAGCCUACUGGGCCGUCACCGACGCUGAGGCGCGAAAGCUAGGGGAGCGAACAGG